ACAUGCCCACACCUGUGGCUUCUGAAGCAGAGCACCAGCAGUGACAGUCCCACCAGAACCGCAUGGAAUAGAAAACUGUGCAUUUCCCUAAGGAAAGGGAAUGCCAGAGAAGGGCAGAAGGGAAAUCAGGAAGACAAAACGGUAAAUUACCUACCACAAAUCCAAUUCAUUGGUAUUUUUCCACUUACACUUAACCAAGCAACGAUUUCUCCUGGUCCCAUAAUGGAAAAGAGGGUUUAUCUAGAUUCAUAUAUACAAGACUGAAGAGUGAAGAGAGACCCAGAGAAUGUUCUAAAAUCUGCCAGUUAGCAUAAUCACACAGAGAAAUCUCUGCUUCCAGAGGAGGAGCCAAGUUCAAGUCAGAGUGUCUUCAUGUUGGAGUGGACCUUUCCUCUAUCUGUCAACAGAAUGGAUAAAUUGUGGAAGAGUAAUAUCAGAAUACUACACAUCAGUAAAAAACAACAAACUUCUGCUACAAACAAUCAACAUCGAUGAAUCUUUCAGGCAAAAGGUUAUAGAAACAGAUGAUCAGUGGCCCACGGAUUCCAGGUGAGGAUCUGGGACCCAGACAUCCAGAUAUUGAAAACACAGGGAUGGAGUCUGUAUGGAAAAAAUUAAAAUAUAGCAAAAUGUGAAAUACGGAAGAGAAAUCUUUCAAUUUCCCAAUGGAAGUGAGAAAAGAGCAAAGAAAAGUAUUGGUCUUCCAAAACAAAUAGAGGACGGAGCUGCUGCUGUUGCAUGGUGUCUAGAAACUCAGACAACUUCAUCAUUCCAUAUUUGCAUCCAAGAGAGAGAAAGAAAAACUACAAUCAUUUUCCAUUUACCCAUCAACCCAUCAACCUCCAAAGACAGGGUCUCACUAUGUUGCCCCAGUUGGCCUUGAACUGCUGGACUCAAGGGAUCCUCCUGCCUCAGCAUCCUGAGUAGCUGGGUCUACAGGCAUGAACCACCAGGCCCAGAACCCUGUCUUUUGAAAGCCAUAUGCGAUCUGUCUGCCCUGAAGUGACUACUUCAUCUCCAACCAGCCCUUGGCUGGCAAAGUCAGGAAGACUCCAGUCUUUCCUGAAGACCAGGGGAGAGUUUAUAACUCUAGCAUCAAAGUCAGCAGCUGUUCAUCUAGAAGACAACUUCCCAAAAGUCAAUGUCUUUGCCUGAAGCUUUUCUUCCCAGAUCUCCUAUGGUGAAACAACCAAAGGGAAGAAGAAUGUGGGCAGCCCUCAGUAAGACAGGAGAUGAGCAUCAACAUUGACCCAUUCUUUCUUCCAGUCCUCGAUGCUUACCUUGUACAUUCUUCUUUGUCUUCCGACUCAGUGCCUUUAGGGUAUGGACGUUGCCUGGUCCCACACAAGCCAAGCAUCAAAUGGAUGGCUCAACAAGGAGGCCAAGACCAGCUAAUGUUUAGUGAGCACCCAAAGGGGCCACACUGGAGAGAACAGCACAGCUCCGUCUGAGAAACAGCUGUUCCUUCCUGCCUGAGAGGCAGAGUGAUAGAAGAUAUCACAGAAUGUUGCUGCUUUGUCUUCCACCCUGAACCCUCCACGACCUCCCUGUAGCUUCCUGAUUUUAAGUAGACAUCAAAUGAUUCUUAAUCCUUUCUGGGUCUUGGAACGAUUUGAAAAUUGUCAACAGUACUGGGAUUCCCAGAAUAAUGCACAUAUGUACAUACUCAGAUAUUCCCCAAGCCCUGGAUAUAAUUUUAAGGGAGUUCACAGACCACACUCCCCCACCCAUCUGUGGACCCAGAUUCUGUGGGUUCGAGAUUCAGAAGCCCUGUUUCUAGGCAGGCCCUCUGUUGCUAACGCCCCUCGAGAACAUCACCCUAGAUGAUUAUCCCUUCUUCCUCCACUCCUUCCCACCUUCUCCAACUGCUGGGUUUCAGCACAAAGAUUGCUUGCCAGUUAAACUGGCACCAUGGACCGCACAGUAGUUGUUUCUUGGGUCUAGAGGAAACAGCCAGAUUCCUUUAAGUAAAUCAUGUCUUAGUUAUUGAUUGUCUCCACUUGAAGUUUUUGACAAUCUCUGAUUAAAUCAUAAACCACUGCA
rnacentral:lncRNA from 1 species